CCGGCAAUUUGGGAGGCUGAGGCAGAUGGGUCACUUGAGGCCAGGAGUUCGAGACAAGCCUGGCUAACAUGACAAAACGCCGUCUCUGUUAAAAACGCAAAAAAAUAAGACAGACGUGG